GCUACGGGAGGCAGCAGUGGGGAAUAUUGCACAAUGGGGGAAACCCUGAUGCAGCGACGCCGCGUGAGUGAAGAAGUAAUUCGGUACGUAAAGCUCUAUCAGCAGGGAAGAAAAUGACGGUACCUGAGUAAGAAGCCCCGGCUAACUACGUGCCAGCAGCCGCGGUAAGACGUAGGGGGCAAGCGUAAUCCGGAUUUACGGGGUGUAAAGGGAGCGUAGACGGUGCGCCAAGUCUGGAGUGAAAUGCCGCAGCUUAACUGCGGAACUGCUUUGGAAACUGGCGAACUAGAGUGCGGGAGGGUUGAGCGGAAUUCCUAGUGUAGCGGUGAAAUGCGUAGAUAUUAGGAGGAACCCCGGUGGC
rnacentral:rRNA from 1 species